rnacentral:rRNA from 1 species
UACGGAGGGUGCAAGCGUUAUCCGGAUUCACUGGGUUUAAAGGGUGCGUAGGCGGCUUGUUAAGUCAUUGGUGAAAGCUCGCAGCUCAACUGCGAAACUGCCAUUGAAACUGUCAAGCUUGAAUGUGGUUGAAGUGGGCGGAAUACAACAUGUAGCGGUGAAAUGCUUAGAUAUGUUUUAGAACACCGAUUGCGAAGGCAGCUCACUAAGCCAAUAUUGACGCUGAGGCACGAAAGCGUGGGUAGCAAACAGG